UACGAAGGGUGCAAACGUUGCUCGGAAUUAUUGGGCGUAAAGCGCACGUGGGCGGCUUUGCAAGUCCCAUGUGAAAUCCCACGGCUCAACCGUGGAAGUGCAUGGGAAACUGCAGAGCUUGAGUACUUAAGAGGAUCGCGGAAUUCCCGGUGUAGAGGUGAAAUUCGUAGAUAUCGGGAGGAACACCAGUGGCGAAGGCGGCGAUCUGGGAAGAUACUGACGCUGAGGUGCGAAAGCGUGGGGAGCAAACAGG
rnacentral:rRNA from 1 species